rnacentral:rRNA from 1 species
CACGUAGGGGACGAGCGUUGUCCGGAUUCAUUGGGCGUAAAGCGCGCGUAGGCGGCUCGGAAAGUCGGUCGUGAAAUGCCGGGGCUCAACCCCGGGACUGCGUCCGAUACUCUCGAGCUGGAGGCAGGUAGGGGAGAUCGGAAUUCCUGGUGUAGCGGUGAAAUGCGCAGAUAUCAGGAGGAACACCGGUGGCGAAGGCGGGUCUCUGGGCAAUAACUGACGCUGAGGAGCGAAAGCGUGGGGAGCGAACAGG